rnacentral:rRNA from 1 species
UACGUAGGGUGCGAGCGUUGUCCGGAAUUAUUGGGCGUAAAGGGCUCGUAGGCGGUCUGUUGCGUCAGGAGUGAAAACUCGGGGCUUAACCCCCGAGCCUGCUUCUGAUACGGGCAGACUAGAGGUAUGCAGGGGAGAACGGAAUUCCUGGUGUAGCGGUGAAAUGCGCAGAUAUCAGGAGGAACACCGGUGGCGAAGGCGGGAUCUCUGGGCCGAUACUGACGCUGAGGAGCGAA